CGAGUCCGAGCAGCUACGGCAGCGGAGUGACUGAAGUCAAGCUUCCCAGAAAAGCCCGAACCACGUUAAUCCACAGUUACCUGUACCCGAAACCGACACAGGUGGGGAGGUAGAGCAUACUAAGGGGCGCGAGAUAACUCUCUCUAAGGAACUCGGCAAAAUGACCCCGUAACUUCGGGAGAAGGGGUGCCCUCAGCAAUGGGGGUCGCAGUGAAGAGGCCCAGGCGACUGUUUACCAAAAACACAGGUCUCCGCUAAGUCGCAAGACGACGUAUGGGGGCUGACGCCUGCCCAGUGCCGGAAGGUUAAGGAAGCUGGUCAGGGAUUCGUCCUAAAGCUAGCGACUGAAGCCCCGGUGAACGGCGGCCGUAACUAUAACGGUCCUAAGGUAGCGAAGUUCCUUGUCGGGUAAGUUCCGACCCGCACGAAAGGCGUAACGAUCUGGGCACUGUCUCGGAGAGAGACUCGGCGAAAUAGGAAUGUCUGUGAAGAUACGGACUACCUGCACCUGGACAGAAAGACCCUAUGAAGCUUUACUGUAGCCUGGAAUUGGCUUCGGGCUUCGCUUGCGCAGGAUAGGUGGGAGGCGUUGAAGUUCCCCUCGUGGGGGGGAUGGAGCCAACAGUGAGAUACCACUCUGGCGAGGCUAGAAGUCUAACUUUCACCCGUAAGCCGGGGAAAAGACAGUUUCAGGUGGGCAGUUUGACUGGGGCGGUCGCCUCCAAAAAGGUAACGGAGGCGCGCAAAGGUUCCCUCAGGCUGGUUGGAAAUCAGCCAUCGAGUGUAAAGGCAGAAGGGAGCUUGACUGUGAGACAGACAAGUCAAACAGGGUGGAAACACGGCCUUAGUGAUCCGACGGCGCUGAGUGGAAAGGCCGUCGCUCAACGGAUAAAAGUUACUCUAGGGAUAACAGGCUGAUCUCCCCCAAGAGUUCACAUCGACGGGGAGGUUUGGCACCUCGAUGUCGGCUCAUCGCAACCUGGGGCGGAAGUACGUCCCAAGGGUUGGGCUGUUCGCCCAUUAAAGCGGUACGUGAGCUGGGUUCUGAACGUCGUGAGACAGUUCGGUCCAUAUCCGGUGCAGGCGCAAGAGCAUUGAGAGGAGCCUUCCUUAGUACGAGAGGACCGGGAAGGACGCACCGCUGGUGUACCAGUUAUCGUGCCAACGGUAACGCUGGGUAGCCAAGUGCGGAGUGGAUAACCGCUGAAAGCAUCUAAGUGGGAAGCCCACCUCAAGAUGAGUGCUCUCAUGGAGUUAAUCCAGUAAGGUCACGGGAAGAACACCCGUUACUAGGCGCUAGGUGGAAGUCCAGUAAUGGAUGCAGCCGAGGCGUACUAACAGACC
rnacentral:rRNA from 1 species